AAUAGCAGCAUUUGUGGUUGCAGCAAGACAAACUCAUAGCAACACUUGCUGAUGACAUAGAGAUCAUCAGUACUGCUGCUGCUGCUGCUGCUCCUGCUGCUGCUGCUGCUGCUGCUCCUGCUGCUGCUGCUGCUGCUGCUGCUCCUGCUGCUGCUGCUGCUGCUGCUGCUGCUGCUGCUGCUGCUGCUGCUGCUGCUGCU